CAGGGGAGAGGGGAUUGCGACUGAACGACCUGUGAGGAGGAUCAUGUGACAGGAGUGGGCGGAGCUCAGCAGAAGAGUAAUUGUUCUGGCUGAGGGACCUGUUGUGAGGAGCCUGACAUAUCUGCUAAGCAGCGAGACGUCAGUGACCCACCAGAGAGGAGCGCGGAGGAGAACACUUCUCGGCCUCUUUCAUCUUCUGCAGUGAACACAACAGACUCCAUUUCUGGUCCUUCAUGCCGGCUGCCGGAAUAGGAGCAUUGGAGAUGUCGAAUUCAACACUUCAUCAAAUCGUGAUCCUGCAGCGGUCCGCAACAGAGCAAAUUAAGUUGAAUAUUUUUAAGUUGAAAUACCUUCAGGAAAGGUGGGAAGAUUUUUUAUUUUUUCUCUUAACCAUUGAAUGAAUUUGCAGGAAUGAAUCUACCGAUGGCGAGUAAAAAAAUUUGUGAAAACUUCUUUUUUCCCCCAAGCGCAGAGCAAAUCAAUUCCGUCAUUCGACGUAAAAUGCAAAACAAGGUAAAAAAAAAUCAGCGUCUCCGAGAAAGGCUGUAUAUAUGUUUUUUUCUUCUUCAUCUAGAAUCACAUACCGCACCUACAAAUGAAGUUUCAUAGACUGGCUUGGUCACCAUGGUUACCUCUGCCGAUGCAAACCAAUGAAAGACGAACAGGGUCUGGUGGCGAGAGUCAGUGAAGACAAUCUGCUUCUGUAUCCAACCCCCGGAAAAAAAAUAAAAUGGGGGGUCUGUAAUGGCACGCUGCCAGUGCCUCCGCAAAGGGGACGGCCUGUCUGGCUAUAGACGUUUGUGUUACUGAAAUGGAUAAAAAGGACAAUAAAAACACCACGCCACACACAUGCACCCAGCGAUCAGCACAUCAAGGGCACGACUCCAUAAAUCACAUGGAUAUCCUAUUUAGCCUUUACCGCCGGAGGAUUUUUUUUUUUUCUGCCGUCCUUUAUAGACGUAAUUAAUAGACAGAGAAAUGUACAAAGAGCUGGUUAUUUAUUUUCGUUUUUUUUUCCGCAGGAUUUUAUGCCCCCCAUCAACACAAGUGCACCCACCGCCGCCCCUCCUCCUCCUCCUCAGUCUUUGGCAUUCUCCCCUCUUCCCUUGGCGUGCCCGAGGACUAGUGACUGGUUUAGCGCAUUUGCAUCACAAAACGCCAGCCCCUGUGAACUUGAGUGACCUUUUGACCUCCGCGAUUUGACUAGUGAAUUGCUGCGGUCCGGAUCACGCUGUCGUGUCAGUCUGAUUCCUACGUGAAUACAUUCUUAAUCCUCCACGUCGGUGUUACAGACGAGUCCUCAUUCACAAUCUUCCCAUUCCGGAGUCCUGACACAAACCCUUCUUUUUCUAAAGCCACUAUCUGUUUCUUUUUCCGCACCUGGACUUUUAUUUUUAUGAACCAGGGAGGAAAUAGGGGUAAAGAAAGGAGGCGCUGGGCAAAAUCGGAAUUCCUAAAACAAACCGCGACUGUUCACGAAACAAACUCUGAUUCAUGGCGCUCUGUUCUUUUUAUUCCUCUUUUUUCUACCACUUGUUUUCUUUUUGUUAGAAUUACAGAACUUCCAAAAAUCAUUUGUCCCUUUCAUUUUCGAAUGGAUAAAUAACUUUUAUCCAUCUAUUUUUCUAUCUAUUUUUCUAUCUAUUUUUCU